rnacentral:rRNA from 1 species
GUGGGGAAUUUUGGACAAUGGGCGCAAGCCUGAUCCAGCAAUGCCGCGUGCAGGAAGAAGGCCUUCGGGUUGUAAACUGCUUUUGUACGGAACGAAACGGUCCUGGCUAAUAUCCGGGGCUAAUGACGGUACCGUAAGAAUAAGCACCGGCUAACUGCGUGCCAGCAGCCGCGGUAAUACGUAGGGUGCGAGCGUUAAUCGGAAUUACUGGGCGUAAAGCGUGCGCAGGCGGUGCUGUAAGACAGGCGUGAAAUCCCCGGGCUCAACCUGGGAAUUGCGCUUGUGACUGCAGUGCUGGAGUGCGGCAGAGGGGGAUGGAAUUCCGCGUGUAGCAGUGAAAUGCGUAGAUAUGCGGAGGAACACCGAUGGCGAAGGCAAUCCCCUGGGCCUGCACUGACGCUCAUGCACGAAAGCGUGGGGAGCAAACAGGAUUAGAUACCCUUGUAGUCC